rnacentral:rRNA from 1 species
GUCUAAGUAUAAGCAACUAUACGGUGAAACUGCGAAUGGCUCAUUAAAUCAGUUAUCGUUUAUUUGAUAGUACCUUACUACAUGGAUACCUGUGGUAAUUCUAGAGCUAAUACAUGCUAAAAACCCCGACUCACGGAGGGGUGUAUUUAUUAGAUAAAAAACCAAUGCCCUUCGGGGCUCCUUGGUGAAUCAUAAUAACUUAACGAAUCGCAUGGCCUUGCGCCGGCGAUGGUUCAUUCAAAUUUCUGCCCUAUCAACUUUCGAUGGUAGGAUAGUGGCCUACCAUGGUGGCAACGGGUAACGGGGAAUUAGGGUUCUAUUCCGGAGAGGGAGCCUGAGAAACGGCUACCACAUCCAAGGAAGGCAGCAGGCGCGCAAAUUACCCAAUCCCGAUUCGGGGAGGUAGUGACAAUAAAUACUGAUACAGGGCUCUUUUGGGUCUUGUAAUUGGAAUGAGUACAAUUAAAUCCCUAACGAGGAACAAGUGAG